CCUACGGGGGGCAGCAGUGGGGAAUAUUGGACAAUGGAGGCAACCCUGAUCCAGCCAUGCCGCGUGUGUGAAGAAGGCCCUCGGGUUGUAAAGCACUUUCAGUGAGGAAGAACGCCUGGUGGUUAAUACCCAUCAGGAAAGACAUCACUCACAGAAGAAGCACCGGCUAACUCCGUGCCAGCAGCCGCGGUAAUACGGAGGGUGCGAGCGUUAAUCGGAAUUACUGGGCGUAAAGCGCGCGUAGGUGGCUUGAUAAGCCGGUUGUGAAAGCCCCGGGCUCAACCUGGGAACGGCAUCCGGAACUGUCAAGCUAGAGUGCAGGAGAGGAAGGUAGAAUUCCCGGUGUAGCGGUGAAAUGCGUAGAGAUCGGGAGGAAUACCAGUGGCGAAGGCGGCCUUCUGGACUGACACUGACACUGAGGUGCGAAAGCGUGGGUAGCAAACAGGAUUAGAUACCCGAGUAGUC
rnacentral:rRNA from 1 species